rnacentral:rRNA from 1 species
GAAGGUGUGUCGUGAGGCAUGCUGGAGGUAUCAGAAGUGCGAAUGCUGACAUAAGUAACGAUAAAGCGGGUGAAAAGCCCGCUCGCCGGAAGACCAAGGGUUCCUGUCCAACGUUAAUCGGGGCAGGGUGAGUCGACCCCUAAGGCGAGGCCGAAAGGCGUAGUCGAUGGGAAACGGGUUAAUAUUCCCGUACUUGGUGUUACUGCGAAGGGGGGACGGAGAAGGCUAUGUUGGCCGGGCGACGGUUGUCCCGGUUUAAGCGUGUAGGUGUGUGUUCCAGGUAAAUCCGGUUCACUUUAACACUGAGGCGUGACGACGAGGCACUACGGUGCUGAAGCAACAAAUGCCCUGCUUCCAGGAAAAGCCUCUAAGCAUCAGGUAACACGAAAUCGUACCCCAAACCGACACAGGUGGUCAGGUAGAGAAUACCAAGGCGCUUGAGAGAACUCGGGUGAAGGAACUAGGCAAAAUGGUGCCGUAACUUCGGGAGAAGGCACGCUGACACGUAGGUGAAGUGAUUUACUCAUGGAGCUGAAGUCAGUCGAAGAUACCAGCUGGCUGCAACUGUUUAUUAAAAACACAGCACUGUGCAAACACGAAAGUGGACGUAUACGGUGUGACGCCUGCCCGGUGCCGGAAGGUUAAUUGAUGGGGUCAGCG